AUCAUGGAACUGAUUCAACAGUAGAAGAGAACCGGUCCAGUCAUAAUGACAGUAAUAAUGACACUACAUCAGGUGCUAACAAUGCUUCUACACCAGUAUCAAUAUCUGAACCUAUAAUUACUAGUACUAUACCAGGUAAUCCAAAGGAUAUAUUAAGGAUUAAUUCUGAUAAAUUAGUUCAUGCUAUUAGUGUGAAUCUAUACGAUGUAACUGAUGCACUGUAUGCUAAAGAACUGAUACCACAACAAACUAGAGAUGAGACGCAUGUAUUAGGAUUAGCUGACAGUAUAAAAGCUGGCAAUCUUGUGCAUGUAUUAGAGGAGCAGUGUGAAUCCUCUCUUAAUCCAAAGCAGUAUCUUAUUGAUACAUGUCAUGUAUUAAUAAACCAACAUUGUACACU